UGAGAUGAAGAAAACGCUUGCAGUCUACGAAGAGGAUCUGGAAUAUUCUGAGUUCACUGAGGACACAGGAGAUAUGAAAGACGCUACAGUAGAUCAAUAUGACUGGGCGUCUGUGGAGUCUGUGGAUGACUGGCUUUGGUUAAAAUUAAACAAGACAAAUGUGUUGGAACAACAGGAGGAGGACCAACCAGUUUUGCCGCCCUGAGGCACGGUUCAGUUUGAGCUAUAAACAGGGUUUUAAAAUAA